GGCCCCAGCCUGUUUUGUGGUGGUUUCCCCCACCACCCCCCCUCCCCGACCCCCGUUCCAAGGACAGGAGGCUUGGGAUUUGGUGGAUUUGGUCACUGCAGCCCCUCUUGGUCUCUUGGCCUCAGAUGAUCAACCAGCGCUCCUCCAGGCCCAGGAUCGCCUAUCCAGGCCGUCUGGAGUCUAAAGCGACAAGCCAGUUCCCCACUAAGACCUGUGGGUCUGGGGCGCCACAGCAAGAUAAAGUUAUCUUCAGCUCUGUCCCAGCGUCCACCAUUUUGGAGCUGCAGGAGUCCUCCCUUGAGCGCAUGAAUCAGAAGUUGGGCUCCCAGAAAAGAGAAUACCCCACCUCCAGUCCUUCCCCAGUCCUUUGCUGCCAGCGCUGUGAUAGGGGAAGGCAGGACCGCCCUCCACUCCUCCCCAUGGGCUGGCCUUCCAAGCAAAACUCAUCUCUGGGAGCAGGUUUAGAGUUUAGCUGAUGUGAAAGUCCUGCCCCUGGGCAGUGUUUGAAUAGGACUGAAACGACAGAUGACAGCCAGCACCGUCCAGAACUAGGAGGACGUUGGAGAUGAUGCAGACCAACCACUCCUGCUUCCCUCUCUUACAGGUCUGGAGACCAGGAUUCCAGAAUGAGAUGUCAGCAGGGCCGUGCUCCCUCUGGAGGUGCCAGAGAAGGAACGUUCCAGGCCUCUCUCUGGGCUUCCGGGGCCUCAGGGGGCGGGUUCAGGCUCCGAGCUGUCAGCACAGAGCCCGACGCGGGGCUCGAACCCACAAACCGUGAGAUCAUGACCUGAGCCGGAAGCCGGACGCUUAACCGACUGGGCCCCCCCCCCCCCCCCGGGCGCCCUCCCCAACGGCCUCAUCUUAACCUCGCUCAUGUCUGUAAAGUCCCUAUCUCCAAAUAAGGUCCCAUUCUCAGGGACAGAGACACAACUCAGCCUGUACCAGUGGUGAUGAUGGAGAGGGCGGUGGUGACAGAGAUGGGGGAAGGUACUAGGCCUCAGGCCCCGACCCUCCAAUUCUGCAGGAGCUGCGUGGGGAGCAGUGGCCAGUUCAGAAGACCAGGAAUCUGUUCGUGCAGUGAGGUGCCGGGUGGGAGUGCCCCGCUGGAGGAGCAGGGAGAUACAAAAGAUGA